rnacentral:rRNA from 1 species
GACGAACCGUACGAACGUUAUUCGGAAUUACUGGGCUUAAAGAGUCCGUAGGCGGCGCGGAAAGUGGGGUGUGAAAGCCCUCGGCUCAACCGAGGAAUUGCGCUCCAAACUACCGUGCUUGAGGAACCUAGAGGUGAGCAGAACUGAUGGUGGAGCGGUGAAAUGCGUUGAUAUCAAUCAGGAAUACCGGAGGCGAAGGCGGCUCACUGGGGGUUUCUGACGCUGAGGGACGAAAGCCAGGGUAGCGAACGGG